UUUAAGGAACUGAACUAGGCCCUGGAGAUACAGAAACAGAAACAGAAGAGAGAUGGCCCCUGGCCUCACAGAGCUUAGGAAAGAAAUAGGACUGCACAUAAGCCAAGAUGUGAUUAUUACCUUAUUGGAUGGAUAGUAUAAUAGGGGUGUUCAGAGCACUCGAGGACCACAUGGAAGGGAACACAGCCCAGACUUGUAGGGUUAGGGUAGGAUUCUGGAAGGUAGCAUCAGUGGAGGCUUCUAGAAGAAGUGACAGAUAAGCCCAAACCUGAAUAAUAUGUAGGGAUUGGUCAGAUACGGAGUUCAUGUAUGUGGGUGAACACUCAAUUCAAAAGAAACAAGUGGAAAUGCACAGAGGUGACAGCAUGGAGACUUCAGAAAACUUGGAAGCCCUUUGGUGUGACUGGUAGAUGGAGUGCAGCAGACCGGGUAAAAAAUCCAAUGGUCAUUAGACCAUGAAGGCCAUUGUGAGCCAUGUGAGCAUUCACGACUUUUUACUCAAGGCAAUAAGAUCUAGGAAAGAUUAUCAGCAGGGGAGUAGCAUUAUCUGGGAAGGAGCACCUGUAGAGAAUAGACCAGAAAGAGAGUGGACUGCACUCAGAGACCAUUUUGGAAGAUAUGGGGGCUAUCUAAAUGAGAGAUAAUCAUACCUUAACAGAGAGACUGACAGUGGAGAUAGCCUCUCAGAAGGCUAUCAGGAUAGGUCACAAAAUCAAAGAGCAAACUAAAUAAGCAGCCUGUGGGGCCAGAAAUGGAGUGCUUUUAUCUUCAGAAUCUUCCAAAGCCCAAGGAGCCAUUUUUUCCCUAGAGUGUUGCCAUAAAACAUGUUGGUUCCAAUCAUCUCUGACUUACUGGGUAUAUUCUUUCAGAAUUCAGUCUCAGGAGAGAAAAUCUAAAGGGACCAGCUUAGACCUCACCUCCUAACCCCAGGCAGCCAUGGUUGAUACGUUCUGUUACCAGGGACCUGGAUGGAGGAGGUGAAGAGCCAACUGGAGCAGUAGCCCCAAUGAUAUGGGGGUGGGGGCAGGGGGAGCAGUCAAACUCUAGAGCCAGGCCCCCAGCCUGGCAACUGUGUGGAUGGGUGUAUGAUCCUCUGAAAGAGGAAGAGGAGCAGGUUUGAAGCUAGGAGUGGGGAGUAGCAUUUAGUAUCGGGCAUAUGUAUGAAGACGUCUUGCAGGAAAGUGAAAAUACAAGCCUAGAACCAAGAGAACAAUAUCCUGGCUGAGGAGAUGUCCUCAGCUCUCGUAUGAUGGUAAAAUCCAUGGGGAUGGAGAUGAUUUAUACAAUGCCAGCCCAGACUUGGGAAUGGACAAGAUGGUGUAAGGACAGUGAGUAGUAUGAGGGGAAGAGAGGCUUAGAUAGAAUCCUCAGAAUUCAUGUGGGCAGAUCUAAGAGGUAUUAGUGGUAAAGAAGGUUUGACCUGGGCUGUCAUCGCCAGCCUCAAGAUGAUGGCCAAAGAUCCCACCUCCUGGUAUUCACCCUGGUGUGAAAUAUCCUUCCCCCAUUGGACUGAAAUUUAUGUAUGUAGCCAACACAAUGUGCAGAACUGAUGGCAUUUUAAGUUAUAAGAUUCUGUGUCUUUUGUUUUGCUCCCUCUCUCUCUCGGAUCUUUCUGCCCGUUGCCAUGUUGUGAGCACAGAGAACCCCAUGUGAUGAACAAUUCAGGCUUUGGUUAUCCUCUAAGGGACUAAGCUUGGAAGCAGACACUCCGACCCUGGUCAAGCCCAGGCGACUACAUCCCCAAGUCACAAAUAGCUACUGGAUUCAUGACAGAUCCCGAACCAGAAUCACCCGGCUGAGCUGCUCCUAGAUUUCUGACCACUGAUACUGUGAGAUGAUAAUUUCUUGCUGUUUUAAACCACUGAGUCUUAAGUGGCUUCACCAGUUUGCAUCCCCACCAACAAUGCACAAGGCUUCCUUUUUCUCCACAUCAUCACCAACACAUGUUUCUCGUGUUUUCUAUUUUAGCCAUCUGACAGUGCAGAAAAGAGAGGACCAAGGAAAUUGACUGCUAGAAAGAAGGAAGAACAGUUGUCAAGAAGGAAAGCUGCUGAGCUUGGACAGCACCUGCUAAUUUUAUGUGAGCUUUAUCUUCAUGCAAAAAUGGUCACCUCUUAGAGGGCAACUGCAUUCUUUUUCCCUGGGAGGGUGGAAGAGAAAAGAAAUCGGGAGAAUUUA